rnacentral:rRNA from 1 species
AAUAAGCUAUUUAAGAGCGUACGGUGGAUGCCUAGGCUCUCAGAGGCGAUGAAGGACGUGAUAAGCUGCGAUAAGCUGCGGGGAUUGGCACACACAAUUUGAUCCGCAGAUUUCCGAAUGGGGAAACCCACUAUAUUGAAGAUAUAGUAUCCGUUAAGGAAGCAAACCCAGGGAACUGAAACAUCUAAGUACCUGGAGGAAUAGAAAACAAAAGUGAUUCCGCUAGUAGUGGCGAGCGAACGCGGAAUAGCCCAAACCAAAAUUGUUUCGGCAAUUUUGAGGUUGUAGGACCACGUUAUUGAAUGUUCAAUGAAUUAGAAUUCUUUGGAAAAAGAAACCAUAGAGGGUGAUAGUCCCGUACAAGUAAAGAGAAUUAUUCAUAGUGGUAUCCUGAGUAGCGCGGGACACGUGUACUCCUGUGUGAAUCUGGCGGGACCAUCCGCUA